GAUGAAGAACGUAGCGAAAUGCGAUAAGUAGUGUGAAUUGCAGAAUUCCGUGAAUCAUCGAAUCUUUGAACGCACAUUGCGCCCCCUGGCAUUCCGGGGGGCAUGCCUGUUCGAGCGUCAUUUAAAAAGGCAUCAAGCACAUUGGCUUGGUCGUGAGGGAUGAGCGUCUGAGGCGGUCACCCUCGAAAUCGAUCUGCGGAUUUUCCGGAGGGCGGCUUGCAGCGAUCAUAACUGAAUGCCUUCGCAGCGGCACGUUCUCCGAGCCGUCGUAAACCCCCCAACGUUUCAAAGGUUGACCUCGGAUCAGGUAGGGAUACCCGCUGAACUUAAGCAUAUCAAUAAGCGGAGGA
rnacentral:misc_RNA from 1 species